rnacentral:tRNA from 1 species
UGUGGCUCAGUGGUAAAGCGCUUGCCUAGCAUGUAUGAGGCACUGGGUUCAAUUCUCAGCA